UGGUCUAAAGGUAUUAAGUUAUCUCAAUUGAUUGCUCACUCUCGGUUACAGAUCAAACUCCCUGUUCUACUCUUUCCCCCCUUCUCACUACUGCACUUGACCAAGAAUUAA
ensembl:misc_RNA Y_RNA Y RNA